rnacentral:rRNA from 1 species
AGCGAACGCUGGCGGCAGGCCUAACACAUGCAAGUCGAACGAACCUUUCGGGGUUAGUGGCGGACGGGUGAGUAACACGUGGGAACGUGCCUUUAGGUUCGGAAUAACUCAGGGAAACUUGUGCUAAUACCGAAUGUGCCCUUCGGGGGAAAGAUUUAUCGCCUUUAGAGCGGCCCGCGUCUGAUUAGCUAGUUGGUUGAGGUAAUGGCUCACCAAGGCGACGAUCAGUAGCUGGUCUGAGAGGAUGAUCAGCCACAUUGGGACUGAGACACGGCCCAAACCCAUAGGGGAGGAGGCAGGGGGGAUUUUUGCGAAAGGGGAGAAAGCCGGACGCAGCCAGGCCGGGUGAAUGAUGAAGGUCUUAGGAUUGAAAAAUUCUUUCCCGGGGGAGGAUAAGGGGGGACCCGGGAAAAGAGGCCCGGGCAAACUUCGUG